UCUCUCCCUUCUUCGUUGCUUCUCAUUCCCUUUUUGCCUUCGAUGAAGCUCAGCUUUCAUUUUCAUUCCCUUUUCAUUUUAAUCCACCGAACCUCCUUGCUGCCAUUUGUCUCACGUCUAUACUCCAUGGGUCAAAGUUAUUCAGCAAGAGUUGUGGUGUUGACUUCUUGAAGCUCACGAACGACCGAAGCCCUUCUUUUUCUGUCGGUUUUGUGCGUUGUCCAGCACCACCGAUCAAAGCAGCUCACGGCAGAAGCUGCUCCAUCCAGUGUUCUCCUCGCUCAACUCACGCCAGCACACCUCACGCUCGGUCAACCAAAGCUCACUUUGCGCCCACGCCGUAGACCUUGGAAGCUCCAUCGCUCCACCGAAGUUCAUCCUAUCUCCGCCUGUUUCAUCCUACCGAAGCAACACCGACCCACGCGUCCACAGCUACCCUUCCCGGUCAACAACAAGCCACUGAAGCUUCUUAUUUGACCUGCAACUCCUUCGUGCGUCCAGUGAAGCCGCACGCAUCCAACGCCUCCUCCAGCGAAGCCUUCACGAGCAGCAGCUUCCAGCGAAGCCUUAAGCCAGCUGCCGUCCAAGCCGCACGUUCCCUUCGCCCGCAAAUCCUCGACCCAAAUAUCUCAGAAGCCUGCAGUGACUUCUUUCCUUAUGCGGCCCAGCGUCUUCAGCCCAGCAAUUUGUCAUUUUAGGUGGCCCAAUAACAGCCCGCAGUUUGGCAUCUUCAAGCCCAAUUCCCCGCAAGCCAACCCAAGUUGAUUAAGAGCAGCCCAUCUUCAGCAGGCCCAACCCAAUUUGGGUCCAGCCCAAAAGCAAGAAUAAAUCUCAGUUGGGCUAAGAUUUGUUGGGCCAAGUUCAAGGCCCGGUCCAAGCCCGCCGGUAUUGUCGAAAGUCUGAUUUCGGCUGCCGUCGCGUCGUCGUCGCGGUGUCCCGGUCCCCGCUUUUUACCAAGUGAGUUUUACUCACUAAUGUUUUCUUAGUUUGCUAAUUAUGCUUAGGGGUUGAUUAGAUUUAAU
rnacentral:lncRNA from 1 species